rnacentral:rRNA from 1 species
AUUGAACGCUGGCGGCAGGCCUAACACAUGCAAGUCGAACGAGUGGCGGACGGGUGAGUAAUGUCUGGGAAACUGCCUGAUGGAGGGGGAUAACUACUGGAAACGGUAGCUAAUACCGCAUCCCAUCGGAUGUGCCCAGAUGGGAUUAGCUAGUAGGUGGGGUAACGGCUCACCUAGGCGACGAUCCCUAGCUGGUAUGAGAGGAUGACCAGCACCACUGGAACUGAGACACGGUCGAGCCUCCUACGAGAGGCAGCAGUGGGGAAUAUUGCACAAUGGGCGCAAGCCUGAUGCAGCCAUGCAGCGUGUAUGAAGAAGGCCUUCGGGUUGUAAAGGACUUUCAGCGGGGAGGCGUUACCCGCAGAAGAAGCACCGGCUAACUCAGUGCCAGCAGCCGCGGUAAUUC